UAAACUAGGAUUAGAUACCCUAUUAUUUUGAACUAGACUGAUAUUACCAGGUUAGUAGUAGUUAUGAGCUUGAAAAUUAAAGAAGAUGGCGGUAUUUUAGUCUAUUCAGAGGAACCUGUCCUGUAAUCGAUGAUCCACGAUUUAUUAUACUUAUUUUAUAAGUUUGCAUAUCGCCGUAGAUGGAAUGUCCUUUAAGGGUUUAUAAACAUUCAAGAGGUUUUUAUUUGUGAAAGUAAAUCAGGUCAAGAUGUAGCUGAUAGAUAAGAAGAGAUGGGUUACAAUAAAUUUAUUUAUAACGGAU
rnacentral:rRNA from 1 species